UACAGAGGGUGCGAGCGUUAAUCGGAAUUACUGGGCGUAAAGCGCGCGUAGGCGGCUUUGCAAGUCGGGUGUGAAAUCCCCAGGCUUAACCUGGGAACUGCAUUCGAGACUGCAUUGCUAGAGUAUGGGAGAGGGAAGUGAAUUUCCGGUGUAGCGGUGAAAUGCGUAGAUAUCGGAAGGAACAUCAGUGGCGAAAGCGGCGCACUGGACCAUAACUGACGCUGAGGCGCGAAAGCUAGGGGAGCAAACAGG
rnacentral:rRNA from 1 species